rnacentral:piRNA from 1 species
UCAGCAGAUGCCUGUCACCAUGGACUAAG